AUUCUAUGAGCCCACCUGAACAGCUGUUUUUUAACGUUGCCAGCCCAUAGAGUCAUAGAACGUACUUCAACAUAUCCAACGUAUUCUCCUGCCAGUAAUCCAUCUUGCUCUGUUCUAGAAUCUUUGGUUCCAUCUCUCCCGUUGUCAAGCAGGCGUAUCUCAGGAUUCUGAUUAACCUCAGGGCCUAUCACAUUGUACACGGAACAUCUGGAGGCUGAGACCCUGCAGUGGUAUUACCCUGAUGUGAAGUGCCCUGACGUGGAGUAUCAACAUCUGCAUAGUGCCACAGGAAUGGACUUUGUUGUACAUAGAGUGUGGAGCAGAAGUUAUAAAUCUGUCACAGCAUAAGGAUGAGAGCAGAGCAGGAGAGCCAGGGACAGGAAGCAGGAGGGCCCUUCAGAGAGGCAUCAGUGGUCAAAGAGCAGCGGAAAAACAGAAAA